GAUGAACGCUGGCGGCGUGCCUAAUACAUGCAAGUCGAGCGAACGGACGAGAAGCUUGCUUCUCUGAUGUUAGCGGCGGACGGGUGAGUAACACGUGGAUAACCUACCUAUAAGACUGGGAUAACUUCGGGAAACCGUAGCUAAUACCGGAUAAUAUUUUGAACCGCAUGGUUCAAAAGUGAAAGACGGUCUUGCUGUCACUUAUAGAUGGAUCCGCGCUGCAUUAGCUAGUUGGUAAGGUAACGGCUUACCAAGGCAACGAUGCAUAGCCGACCUGAGAGGGUGAUCGGCCACACUGGAACUGAGACACGGUCCAGACUCCUACGGGAGGCAGCAGUAGGGAAUCUUCCGCAAUGGGCGAAGGCCUGACGGAGCAACGCCGCGUGAGUGAUGAAGGCCUUCGGAUCGUAAAACUCUGUUAUUAGGGAAGAACAUAUGUGUAAGUAACUGUGCACAUCUUGACGGUACCUAAUCAGAAAGCCACGGCUAACUACGUG
rnacentral:rRNA from 1 species